UACAGAGGGUGCGAGCGUUAAUCGGAAUUACUGGGCGUAAAGCGUGCGUAGACGGUUAAGUAAGUCAGGUGUGAAAGCCCCGGGCUCAACCUGGGAAUGGCAUUGGAAACUGGCGGGCUUGAGUGUGGCAGAGGGGGGUGGAAUUCCGCGUGUAGCAGUGAAAUGCGUAGAGAUGCGGAGGAACACCGAUGGCGAAGGCAGCCCCCUGGGCUGACACUGACGCUCAGGCACGAAAGCGUGGGGAGCAAACAGG
rnacentral:rRNA from 1 species